CAUUUAAAACAAACAAACACUGGGGGUUCGAAACUGGUAGAUACUCACAGGCAUAUGCAGAGCAGGUAAACAAGAUUAUACUGUGCAGCACAGGGAAAUAUAUACAACAUCUUGCAGUAGCUCACGGUGAAAAAGAA